AGUGUGUGUGUGAGUGUGUGUGUGUGUGUGUGUGUGUGUGUGUGUGUGUGUGUGUGUGUGUGUGUGUGAGUGUGUGUGUGUGUUUUGCGGACUCUAUACAGAGAUGAUGAGAUGAGUGACACAGACACAUAAAGACAGAGGGAUGUAAGAGGAUUUGACGGCUGUCGCUCAAGGAAAGAAAGUGGCAAUGUCGCUAAAUAUAAAAAAUCCAAGCAGCUUCUGAUACAAUAGAAUUCGGAACAAUCUGGUUAUAGAAGAAUUUAGGGUAGGAGUCGUGUUCUGAUUGGUUACAACAGAAAUCUGGACAGGAUCCGUGUUCUGAUUGGUUACAACAGAAAUCUGGACAGGAUCCGUGUUCUGAUUGGUUACAACAGAAAUCUGGACAGGAUCCGUGUUCUGAUUGGUUACAACAGAAAUCUGGACGGGAUCCGUGUUCUGAUUGGUUACAACAGAAAUCUGGACGGGAUCCGUGUUCUGAUUGGUUCCAGUAGAACUUCAGGAGAUCGUGACUCUAUCCUAUCUCCAUGAGCAUUGACACUUUCUCUGCUUUUCCGUUCUGGAUCACACCUUUAUUUAUGGACUUUACACACAUCACCAUCAGACCUCCAGACCAUCAACGUUCAGCCAUCAGCCAUUUCCAGGCUCUGUUGAGUCAGUGUGAGCCUGAGGCCAUCAUCUCCAGAUUUGUUUAAGCGUCAAUAAUUAGCGUAGCAUGGCUUCCCCAAUGAGCAGCGCUUUACACCUGUCACAUGGCAUCAGUGUGACGUGGCCUCCAGCCAACAGCAGCCCAAUGAGUCCAUGCUUUGGGAAUCUGUCUAUGUGUGUGUGUGUGUGUGUGUGUGUGUGUGUGUGUGUGUGUGUGUGUGUGUGUGUUCAUUUAAAGCCUCACAUCUCACACUCUUUCAUCCCAAAUCUGUUCGCUCAGUCUAGUGGCUACGAUUUGACUCGCCACACGUCGGUCCGAUCGGAUCAAAACGAACCCAUCGCUCUCACAGCUGAUCUCUCACGCUAAUCACUUCAUUUUCACAUCACGGAUCCAAAAACCAAACGUCUGCCCAGAACUGUUUACCUUCCCUUAGUUACUGAUCCAACACUUUCCUCACAUACACACUGAUAUUUAAGGAUGAAAAGUCAAACCUUGUCUGCAGAAUAUUACAGGUUCUCCAAGGGUUCGGUGACGAGUUCAAGGUUCUUCAGUAUCGUAUCUAAAGGAGUCUUCCAGAAAUGUGCUUCACCUUUAUGUGUCCGAGACGUCUUCACACAUGGACAAAAUCGUGUUGGAAUCUUUAGAUCUUUUAUUCGACUGAUUAGAUUCCAAAACAUUAGUGAACAGAUGAUGCUAAAUUGCCCCUAAUUGUGAAGAUGUGUGUGUUUCCAUCCAUACAGUAUUCCUGCCUCACACAAAACUCCAGAUCCACUAGAAUGAACGAAUGAAUGUAUUUUAUAUUCUUCUUAUUUAUUUCCAGAGGGCAGUUAUAGAUUGUCUCUAUAGAUGUUACACCUGGAGCCAGAUCUCAUAAGGAAACUCUCUGCUGCAGGGUUCGACUUUGAACUUUUAACCCUUUCUAUCAAUCCCCAGGUGAUCCACUGAGGCUGUGGGAUGGAAACCGACUUAUCUGGCAAUCUUGAUCAAGAAUAAACAAAUAUCGGGUUAUCGGUC